GAUGGACGCUGGCGGCGUGCCUAAUACAUGCAAGUCGAGCGAACGGACGAGAAGCUUGCUUCUCUGAUGUUAGCGGCGGACGGGUGAGUAACACGUGGAUAACCUACCUAUAAGACUGGGAUAACUUCGGGAAACCGGAGCUAAUACCGGAUGAUAUUUUGAACCGCAUGGUUCAAAAGUGAAAGACGGUCUUGCUGUCACUUAUAGAUGGAUCCGCGCUGCAUUAGCUAGUUGGUAAGGUAACGGCUUACCAAGGCAACGAUGCAUAGCCGACCUGAGAGGGUGAUCGGCCACACUGGAACUGAGACACGGUCCAGACUCCUACGGGAGGCAGCAGUAGGGAAUCUUCCGCAAUGGGCGAAAGCCUGACGGAGCAACGCCGCGUGAGUGAUGAAGGUCUUCGGAUCGUAAAACUCUGUUAUUAGGGAAGAACAUAUGUGUAAGUAACUGUGCACAUCUUGACGGUACCUAAUCAGAAAGCCACGGCUAACUACG
rnacentral:rRNA from 1 species